rnacentral:lncRNA from 1 species
AGAACAGAGGGAGGGGGAUAUUAAAUUAGAACAGCCAUGGUCAGAACGGAGGGAGGGGCUGAAUAUUAAAUUAGAAGAGCCAUGGUCAGAACGGAGGGAGGAGGGGGAUAUUAAAUUAGAACAGCCAUGGUCAGAACAGAGGGAGGGACUGAAUAUUAAAUUAGAAGAGCCAUGGUCAGAACGGAGGGAGGUGAAUAUUAAAUUAGAACAGCCAUGGUCAGAACGGAGGGAGGGGCUGAAUAUUAAAUUAGAACAGCCAUGGUCAGAACGGAGGGAGGGACUGAAUAUUAAAUUAGAAGAGCCAUGGUCAGAACGGAGGGAGGUGAAUAUUAAAUUAGAACAGCCAUGGUCAGAACGGAGGGAGGGGCUGAAUAUUAAAUUAGAACAGCCAUGGUCAGAACGGAGGGAGGGACCAUACUACUCUUCCUGUUCUGUUGUUUUUACUUUCGCCUGUGAGCAUCGACAGACCAGAGUGGUUUCUGGGCCCCGCUGCAAGAGAGUGUGUGUGUGUUGUAUAUACUCUGCUGUGUGGGUGUGUGUGUGUGUGUGUUGUAUAUCUACUCGUGUGUUGACAGUAUGAAACGUGGUGGUCUGUGGGAAUGUGGCGGUCUGUGGGAAUGUGGCGGUCUGUGGGAAUGUGGCGUGUUUGCAGUGAUGCAUCUAUGGACAUCCUCUCAGAAUAAAUAAAUGUUCUAUACAAACUGUUCCCCUCGACUCUUUUACUACUGUCUGUCUGUCUGUCUGCCUGUCUGCCUGUCUGUGUACAGUUGAAGUCUGUAAACAUCCACUUAGGUUGGAGUCAUUAAAACUUGUUUUUCAGCCAUUCCACAAAUUUCUUGUUAACAAACUAUAGUUUUGGCAAGUCGGUUAGGACAUCUACUUUGUGCAUGACACAAGUCAUUUUUCCAACAAUUGUUUACAG